UACGGGGGGGGCAAGCGUUGUUCGGAAUUACUGGGCGUAAAGGGCUCGUAGGCGGCCAACUAAGUCAGACGUGAAAUCCCUCGGCUUAACCGGGGAACUGCAUCUGAUACUGGAUGGCUUGAGUUCGGGAGAGGGAUGCGGAAUUCCAGGUGUAGCGGUGGAAUGCGUAGAUAUCUGGAGGAACACCGGUGGCGAAGGCGGCAUCCUGGACCGACACUGACGCUGAGGAGCGAAAGCCAGGGGAGCAAACGGG
rnacentral:rRNA from 1 species